AUCCAGGAGCAGCAGCCGGAGGUGAAAUUGGCAGAAGUAGACCUGAGCCGCCUGGAAAUCCUCUUAAGUGGAGAUCAACAGUCCUCAGCUUUCUGCCUCCCACAUAACUGCCUUACCAAGGGAAAAGAAGUCACGUGUCAGAGUCUACUGCCUUCAUGUCAUGGAAAGUGAGUGAGAGCGAUGGGACCUCAAGAACUACUGAUGCCAAGGAAAAGCCGUCCUACUGGGAGUGGAACAGUCGCCACUCUCAAUGAGAUAAGUGUCUGUUUUGGUGAUUGCUCGGCUCACGGCCCACCUUGCUCCUGCUGCGCUUGCAGAGGAAUUGUCCAGGAGUCCCAGGCGGAGCAGAAACUGGAGGAGGUGGAUCUGAGCAGCUUGGACAUCCUUCUAAGGAGACAUUCAGAAUGCAGAAAGCUGAGGACUGUUCAUAACUGGCUGUGAGUAAGAGUGCUGAGGAAAAAAGUCACACGUUAGAUUCUACUGCCCUCAUGCGAUGGAAAGCGAGCGAGAGGGAUGAGACUGCGAGCAGUGUUCAUGC